UACGUAGGUGGCGAGCGUUAUCCGGAUUUACUGGGCGUAAAGCGCGUGCAGGCGGUUUUGCAAGUCGGAUGUCAAAUCUCUCGGCUUAACUGAGAGUCGUCGUUCGAAACUGUAAGACUUGAGGUUGGGAGAGGAAAGCGGAAUUCCCGGUGUAGUGGUGGAAUGCGUAGAUAUCGGGAGGAACACCUGUGGCGAAAGCGGCUUUCUGGCCCACACCUGACGCUAAGACGCGAAAGCGUGGGGAGCGAACAGG
rnacentral:rRNA from 1 species